AUUCUCUUGCAAGUUGAAUACACAGUAUUUAGUAUUAACAAAAGGGAACCGCUUUGGAGCGGUCGGUCUGCUAUUGACCCAUUAACAGCCUUCAAUUAAAUUUUGACACAUUACUUAUUUUACAUUAAGUCAAUAGAAUGCAUCACAUCAGAUUAUUCAUUUGAU